GACGAACGCUGGCGGCGUGCUUAACACAUGCAAGUCGAACGGAAAGGCCCUGCUUUUGUGGGGUGCUCGAGUGGCGAACGGGUGAGUAACACGUGAGUAACCUGCCCUUGACUUUGGGAUAACUUCAGGAAACUGGGGCUAAUACCGGAUAGGAGCUCCUGCUGCAUGGUGGGGGUUGGAAAGUUUCGGCGGUUGGGGAUGGACUCGCGGCUUAUCAGCUUGUUGGUGGGGUAGUGGCUUACCAAGGCUUUGACGGGUAGCCGGCCUGAGAGGGUGACCGGCAAAAUGGGGACAGAGAGACGACAGAGCGUCCGACGGGAGGAAGAAGUGGGGAAUAUGGAACAAGGGGCGGAAGCUGGAUGCAGCAACGCCGCGUGGGGGAUGACGGCCUUCGGGUUGUAAAACGAUUUCGCCGGUGAGGAAGGGGGAGUGACGGUAAUGGGUAAAGAAGCACCGGCUAACUACG
rnacentral:rRNA from 1 species